rnacentral:rRNA from 1 species
GACGAACGCUGGCGGCGUGCUUAACACACGCAAGUCGAGCGGUAAGGCCCUUUCGGGGGUACACGAGCGGCGAACGGGUGAGAAACACGUGGGUGACCUGCCCUCAGCUCUGGGAUAAGCCUGGGAAACCGGGUCUAAUACUGGAUAUGACUCCAUGACGCAUGUUGUGGGGUGGAAAGCCUUGUGCGGCUGAGGAUGGGCCCGCGGCCUAUCAGCUUGUUGGUGGGGUGAUGGCCUACCAAGGCGACGACGGGUAGCCGGCCUGAGAGGCGACCGGCCACACUGGGACUGAGACACGGCCCAGACUCCUACGGGAGGCAGCAGUGGGGAAUCUUGCGCAAUGGGCGAAAGCCUGACGCAGCGACGCCGCGUGAGGGAUGACGGCCU